AUGCACGGUGGAUGAAUGUGAGCCGAGCUUAGCCUUGUUCAUUUUUUUUCACAACAGGCUUUGUGAAAUAUUCUGAACACCCGCUUGAACCCCUGAAGAAAACCCUGCUGCGCGCCUUGAAAUGCCCGCUAUUGGCCCAUUAAUAGGCUACACUGCCCGCUAUAGGUGCAU
rnacentral:sRNA from 1 species